rnacentral:rRNA from 1 species
UCCAUGAAGUCGGAAUCGCUAGUAAUCGUAGAUCAGAAUGCUACGGUGAAUACGUUCCCGGGCCUUGUACACACCGCCCGUCACACCAUGGGAGUGGGUUGCAAAAGAAGUAGGUAGCUUAACCUUCGGGAGGGCGCUUACCACUUUGUGAUUCAUGACUGGGGUGAAGUCGUAACAAGGUAACCGUAGGGGAACCUGCGGUUGGAUCACCUCCUUACCUUAAAGAA